CUGACAUUUAAUAAAUUUGUUAUAUUACCGCGGCAGUGAGUUAGAGAUUGAUGCUUGUACGUGUAUGUAUGGUUGUUCCAAGACGUUUUGUCAGGUGCAUAUGGUACACGAUAAAUUGGAACUGUUUUCAAUGGGUCGUGACCUACCAGCAUUUUCAAGGAGGGAAGAAAACCGCGAAGAACCCUCAGUCACGCUGGGAGUGUUUGCCAUAUCGGUGAUAUUGAUUGGAUUAAAGCGGUGCUUUACUAAUUACCACUUCCGGUGUUUUUAACCGGCAGGGAUACCAGCAAACAAUUUAGGAAUCCGAAGAAUGCACGGUUUUGUGGGAAACCCAGAAAGAAACAACUGCAGUAUGACUAUAAUGGAAAAUGGUACGAAAUUAAAUAUCAGAGGUAAAGCUUUCACCUCUCAUGUAAGCACCCGUCAGAAUUAUUAAUCCAGUGUGAAAAAUAUAAAGACAGGUAUGAAAAUUUAUUGAA